rnacentral:rRNA from 1 species
UACGUGAAACUGUUCAGGGGUAAACCUGUGGUUCCCGAAAGUUCGAAAGAGGAGAUUCAAUUGCCUUACCGAUUAUGACCAUUUAGCAGUGUAUAUUUAUUUGGUAUAUUGUGACAUUAUAUUUGCUUCAGGGAUUCGUUCUUGUUGUAUUUUAUAGUGCACCACUGUUUUAUGUUAAGUUUAUAACCGGAGGCGUGCACUUCUCCUCUAGUAGGUCGUCGUGACCCAUUGGGUACAUUGUCUAAGGCUCAUAUUGGAGACCAUGGUGUCAAUUUAGCAUUUUAAUCGAUGUUACUUUUGUGCAUUCAUGGACUUUUGUGAUGUCCCGACAUUUGCCUGAUGGUAUAACACAAUGAUGAUGAAUCGCUAUAUUUUAUAUAGUGAGCGUUCAGACCUAUGACAAAUGCUUGUAUGGUAUUUAAAAUGUGGAAAUCGGAUAUUAUGCCGGUUCUACACAUAUGGUAUUGCUAGUCAUGGUGUUCUCGAACCGUUUCUUAUCAUCAGUCAACGGCGUUUAUGUUUUGGGUAAUUACAGGACCCGUCUUGAAACACGGACCAAGGAGUCUAGCAUGUGCGCAAGUCAUUGGGUAUUUAUAAUAAACCUAAAGGCGUAAUGAAAGUAAAUAUUUAUAUAUAAAAUUUUAUUAUUUUAUAUUAUUAAUAAAGGGAAGAUGGGUAACGAUAUUUAUGUUACCUCGCAUUCCCGGGGCGUCGCGUACUUAUUGCAAGUUGCGGCGCACCAAGAGCGUACACGCUGGGACCCGAAAGAUGGUGAACUAUGCCUGGUCAGGAUGAAGUCAGGGGAAACCCUGAUGGAGGUCCGUAGCGAUUCUGACGUGCAAAUCGAUCGUAUGAACUGGUAUAGGU